CGCGGGAUGGAGCAGUCUGGUAGCUCGUCGGGCCCAUAACCCGAAGGUCGUUGGUUCAAAUCCAGCUCCCGCAA
rnacentral:tRNA from 2 species